rnacentral:rRNA from 1 species
AGAGUUUGAUCCUGGCUCAGGAUGAACGCUAGCGGCAGGCUUAACACAUGCAAGUCGAGGGGCAGCGGGUCGUAGCAAUACGAUGCCGGCGACCGGCGCAAGGGUGCGUAACGCGUGAGCAAUCUGCCCGUAUCAGGGGGAUAAGCGAUGGAAACGUCGUCUAAUACCGCAUAACACCAAUGAUGGCAUCAUCGUUGGUUGAAAGCUUCGGUGGAUACGGAUGAGCUCGCGAGACAUUAGUUAGUUGGCGGGGUAACGGCCCACCAAGACCGCGAUGUCUAGGGGAACUGAGAGGUUGAACGGCCACAUUGGAACUGAGAUACGGUCCAGACUCCUACGGGAGGCAGCAGUGGGGAAUAUUGGGCAAUGGGCGAAAGCCUGACCCAGCGACGCCGCGUGAAGGAAGAAGGUCUUCGGAUUGUAAACUUCAGUCAACAGGGAAGAUCGUGACGGUACCUGAGGAGGAAGCCCCGGCUAACUACGUGCCAGCAGCCGCGGUAAUACGUAGGGGGCGAGCGUUGUCCGGAAUGGCUGGGCGUAAAGGGCGUGUAGGCGGCCGACUAAGUAUGGAGUGAAAGUCCAUUUUUCAAGGAUGGAAUUGCUUUGUAGACUGGUUGGCUUGAGUGCGGAAGAGGUAAGUGGAAUUCCCAGUGUAGCGGUGAAAUGCGUAGAGAUUGGGAGGAACACCAGUGGCGAAGGCGACUUACUGGGCCGUAACUGACGCUGAGGCGCGAAAGCGUGGGGAGCGAACAGGAUUAGAUACCCUGGUAGUCCACGCGGUAAACGAUGAGUGCUAGGUGUAGCGGGUAUCGACCCCUGCUGUGCCGCAGUAAACACAAUAAGCACUCCGCCUGGGGAGUACGGCCGCAAGGUUGAAACUCAAAGGAAUUGACGGGGGCCCGCACAAGCAGCGGAGCAUGUUGUUUAAUUCGAUGCAACGCGAAGAACCUUACCAGGUCUUGACAUCCAAUUAAGCCCAUAGAGAUAUGGGGUCUCUUCGGAGGAAUUGAGACAGGUGGUGCAUGGUUGUCGUCAGCUCGUGUCGUGAGAUGUUGGGUUAAGUCCCGCAACGAGCGCAACCCUUAUUAUCAGUUACUAACGCGUGAAGGCGAGGACUCUGAUGAGACUGCCGGGGACAACUCGGAGGAAGGUGGGGACGACGUCAAAUCAUCAUGCCCCUUAUGACCUGGGCUACAAACGUGCUACAAUGGCGACCACAAAGAGGAGCGAGCAUGCGAAUGUAAGCGGAUCUCAAAAAAGUCGUCCCAGUUCGGACUGUGGGCUGCAACCCGCCCACACGAAGUUGGAGUUGCUAGUAAUCGCGGAUCAGAAUGCCGCGGUGAAUACGUUCCCGGGCCUUGUACACACCGCCCGUCACACCAUGGGAGUUGGGAGCACCCGAAGCCAGUGAGCCGACCGCAAGGGAGCAGCUGUCGAAGGUGAGACCGAUGACUGGGGUGAAGUCGUAACAAGGUAACC